GUAUAGUGAUGAAACGCAUGCGUGUCAACUGACUCUGUAUACUCCUGGUGUGUUUCUGCUCUGGCUGGUGUUCUGCUGGCUUGAGUCCUGAACAUAGCAGUUAUCCAGAGGCAUGAUCAUAAAUCACUGCUUCUGAAUAC
rnacentral:snoRNA from 1 species